rnacentral:miRNA from 1 species
GUAGAGUACUCAAUACUUUUAUCUUUAGUUUAGUUCAGUACAGUACAGUACAGUACAGUACAGUACAGUACAGUACAGUACAGUACAGUACACAGCAUGGCA